AAUGAACGCUGGCGGCAUGCCUAACACAUGCAAGUCGAACGAAACCAUCGGGAGUGUUUGCCCACGGGGUCGGCGCGCGUCGGACCCUUCCCUUAUGGUUAGCAUACCUCUCCGACAGGGGUGCUAACGCCGGAUAAUUUCUUCUAACCAAAGAUAUAUCGCCCUUGUAGGGGCACGAGUUAGAUUCGCUUGUUGGUACGGUAAAAGCCUAUCACGGGCACGAUCCUUAGCUGGUCUGAGAGGCUGCUCAGCCACACUGCGACUGAGACACGGCCGAGACUACUACGGGAGGCAGCAGUGGGGAAUACUGGAAAAUGGGGGAAAGCCUGAUCCAGUAAUGCCGGGUGAGUGAUGAAGGCCGGAGGGUUGUAAAGCUCUUUUACACGGGACGAUAAUGACAGUACCGGGAGAAUAAGCGCCGGCUAACUCCGUG
rnacentral:rRNA from 1 species